rnacentral:tRNA from 1 species
GGAAGUGUGGCACAAGGGAUAGAGUACCUGCCUACUAAGCACAAGGCUCUGAGUUCAAUCCCCAGUACUGCCA